rnacentral:rRNA from 1 species
UACGAAGGGGGCUAGCGUUGUUCGGAAUUACUGGGCGUAAAGCGCAUGUAGGCGGCAGCGCAAGUCGGGCGUGAAAAUCCCGACGGCUCAACCGUGGAAGUGCACUCGAAACUGCGCAGCUAGAGUCCUGGAGAGGAAGGUGGAAUUCCUGGUGUAGCGGUGAAAUGCGCAGAUAUCAGGAGGAACACCGGUGGCGAAGGCGGGUCUCUGGGCCGAUACGUGACGCUGGAUGCGCGAAAGCGUGGGGAGCAAACAGG